CGCCACCCGUCUGGGGCCCGAAAGGAGGGAGCUUUCCCUCUGUCCCCCAGCCUUUGGACUGUCACCAAACAAGCCAUUCGUUCACCAAAUACUUUUUAAGCGCCUACCAUGUGCCUGACAAGGGAUAUGUAACGGUGAGAAAAACUAGGUGUGGUCCAGGCCCUUCAGGGACUCAGGGGCUCGUGGAAGAAGUGGAUAUUGAAGUACUUAUCACACAAAGGAGGAUAAAAGUACGAUAGCGAUAUCUACCACGAAGCUGUUGUUCCACACCAGAACCAAAUGAGCGCAAGAUCUGACAAAAAAAAAAGGUUCAUCUUUUAUUCUUCCAAACACUUUCAUUUAAAUCAAGAGGAUGGGAUGUGGUUAUUACUGUGUUUUUAGACAAAAUCAAUGGUUUCUGGCUCUGAGAUGUUGCAUACACCCUCUCAGUCCCUGUAUCCUGAGAUGGAGUCACCUGAGAAUCCACAGCAAGUCCUAACCAGGGAUGGGUCUGGGUGAUUAAGGAAGAUUGGCUUCAGAACUGGGCCAGGGGCACUGCUUUGCUUUUGCUGUUUUGAUCAGCUCUCUGCCUGCAGGAGACGAGGAAAACCAAUGGGAACAGGCGCAGGAAUGGGAGGCAGCAGCUGUGGAAGCCAGGGUCUCUGGCAGUCCUUGUCUCUGGGCGGUGAUCCAGAAAGAGAGAGAACACGAUUGUCUCAGCACUGGGUCUUCUUCUGAGUCAUCUUGAAGGAGCAAUUCCAGAGCGUCUCGGUGUUAAACAUCAUGUUGUGAAUGACUCAGUGAUCUCUGACCCAGAGACCUUGGGGAUAAAGGAGGGGAGGUACGGAGAAGCUCUUCGAAUGGAUGUUACCGGCGUGUCAGUGUUCUUUGAGGCCACAGGCUAUGUGUCACCAAAUUGAAGGGGUGGCCUGCCCCUCCACACCUGUGGGUAUUUCUAGUCGGGUGGGAUGAGAGACAGAGAAAAGAAA
rnacentral:lncRNA from 1 species